GUGGGGUAACGGCCUACCAAGCCGAUGAUCCGUAGGGGGCGUGAGAGCGUGGCCCCCCACACUGGCACUGAGACACGGGCCAGACUCCUACGGGAGGCAGCAGUGAGGAAUAUUGCACAAUGGGCGCAAGCCUGAUGCAGCAACGCCGCGUGAGGGACGAAGGCCUUCGGGUUGUAAACCUCUUUUCUGAGGGACGAGGAAGGACGGUACCUCAGGAAUAAGUCUCGGCUAACUACGUGCCAGCAGCCGCGGUAAAACGUAGGAGGCGAGCGUUAUCCGGAUUUACUGGGCGUAAAGCGCGCGCAGGUGGCUUCGUGAGUCGGACAUGAAAGCUCCUGGCUUAACUGGGAGAGGCUGUUCGAUACUGCGGGGCUUGAGGUUGGGAGAGGGACGCGGAAUUCCCGGUGUAGUGGUGGAAUGCGUAGAUAUCGGGAGGAACACCAGUGGCGCAAGCGGCGUCCUGGCCCACACCUGACGCUGAGGUGCGAAAGCGUGGGUAGCAAACAGGAUUAGAUACCCUGGUAGUCCACGCUGUAAACGAUGUCAACUGGGUGUCGGUAGUUUUACACUAUCGGUGCCGAAGCUAACGCG
rnacentral:rRNA from 1 species